rnacentral:lncRNA from 1 species
CCCCGGCCCCCCCGGCACCAUGAGCAGCGCCGCGGAGCCCCAUGGCGACAGGAAGCUCCUGAAGCCGCUCAUGGAGAAGCGCCGCCGCGACCGCAUGAACCGCAGCCUGGACCGGCUCCGGCUGCUUCUGCUCUCUGCCACUCACGACGAGCGCCUCCGAAACCCCAAGGUGGAGAAGGCCGAGAUCCUGCAGAAGACGGUGCAGUUCCUGCGGGCGCAGCCCC